UAAGGAAUAUUGGUCAAUGGACGCGAGUCUGAACCAGCCAUGCCGCGUGAAGGAUGAAGGUCCUCUGGAUUGUAAACUUCUUUUAUCUGGGACGAAAACGGGAUUUUUAUCUCAAUUGACGGUACCAGAGGAAUAAGCACCGGCUAACUCCGUGCCAGCAGCCGCGGUAAUACGGAGGGUGCGAGCGUUAUCCGGAUUUACUGGGUUUAAAGGGUGCGUAGGUGGGCUUAUAAGUCAGUGGUGAAAUCUCCGAGCUCAACUUGGAAACUGCCGUGGAUACUAUAGGUCUUGAAUUAUCUGGAGGUAAGCGGAAUAUGUCAUGUAGCGGUGAAAUGCUUAGAUAUGACAUAGAACACCGAUUGCGGAGGCAGCUUGCUACGCAAAUAUUGACGCUGAGGCACGAAAGCGUGGGGAUCAAACA
rnacentral:rRNA from 1 species